rnacentral:lncRNA from 1 species
AAGAAGAAGAAGGAGGAGAAGAAGAAGAAGAAGAAGAAUAAGAAGAAAAUGAUGUAACCGUAGAUCCAAGAUAUAACAAAGAUUUCAGAAAUGACAACCACAACGAGGGAUAUAAAAAUCCUGCGACCAAGGUUGCUUCUGCGAAGCUCAAAAAAACAAUACAGAAUUAUAGAUGAAUACAUCCCACCUUAAAUAUCUAUUAACAAUAUGCUCUAUGAUGUUCAUUUAAACUACCGCCAUCUUAUAGGUACUAGAGGAAGAAAAUGACAUAGAUGAUGAUUCCGACAAUGAAGAAACCAAUAAUGAGGUAAUAUCAAAUAAAAGGAAAAGGAUUUAAUUUUAAAUAUAUUAUUUCCAAAAUAUAAAAUCAUUGUAUGAAAUAAUAAUCCAUUAGUGUAUUGGUCAUUUCCUACUUUAGUCUAAUAUUAUGUAUGCAUUUCAUCAUAUAUGUAUUACAUAAUACAUUAUUAAAUUCCCACAUUCUAUGUUACAGGUACAAGAGGAAGGAAAUGACACAGAUGGUGAUCUCACAAUUGAAGAAAGUACAAGAAUGAACAAGGUAAAUACGUUGAUGAUAUACAAGCUUAAUAUCUACCAUGAAUUUAGAGAAAUUUACAAAUGUUUCAUUAAUAACAUUGUUUUUGCAUAUAUGCAGGGAGACAACAAUAGUCAUGCCGACAACUGUACCAUCAAAGGUGACAAUGAUGAAGAAUGGAACACCAAAACUAGAAGCAAAAUUGAAAGGGAUCGAGAAGAGGUGUCUAGAGGGGGGGUGAUUAGACACUAAGUACCAAAAAUUGCAGUUUUUAACUUCUUUAAGUUUAAGUGGAGUUUAGGCACAAGUUUAACACUCACAAUACAUAACAAGAAAGCAUGCAAAGAGAAUAUGAGCAGCGGAAAGUAAAGCAUGCAACUUGCAAGAAUGUAAAGGGA